rnacentral:lncRNA from 1 species
CUUUCCUUCAACUAUAGCUACGCGAUCAGAUGAUUUGAAAUUUGUAGUCCCUUGAAGACCCAUCAUGGACCUGAGUAUUUGAAUUUCACUGUAGCAGAGAUGUGCUGAGCUAAAUGAAAUGAAAUGGACAAUUUUAAAGCCACUAUACACCUUGCCUUAGUUAUUACGCAAAGAAGAAAGAAGAAGGAUUUUUCUAUUGGCAGCUCUAAAGUGAGGUGGAGAAAGAAAAGGCAAAUCAUGUCAGUCUCUUUUCCUAGGAAAUCUCAAACGAUGUCAUAAAGAUUUGGACACAACUGAAAUGAUAGAACAACACUUGGAGGAACCAUCAAAAGACAUAACAUUGAUCUGAAGGAGACCAUCUUAUAUCCUAGCAAGCAAAAUUAAGGACAAUCAAAAAGGUUUUUAAAGCUAUUUUUGGGAAAGGGAACCAAAAAAGGAAUAGAACAUUUACUUCUGCCCUUUGUGCUGGAUAUACAAUUAAAUUCAACAGGAAUAAAAGGAAAAAUCCCUAACA